GAACAUUGUUCAAACUUGGAUGCAAGGCUCCUCGAAAUAAAUUCAAAAGAGGAAGAGGAAUUUGUUUCCACCUCUGUCGGCGAUGUAUACAGAACUUACUGGAUUGGAAAAUGCAGAGACGGGAAUGUGGACUCUAAUCUUCUGUACAAGUCCUAUAGCCGGCCCAGCUGCAGAAAAUGCGACGGAUCCUGGACAUACGAUUGCAAAAUAAAACACAGAUUCCUCUGCGAGAAGUCGGAUAUUCCUGCAGAGAUCCGAGGUCUCUGUCAACACCCCGUCGGGAGAACCUAAAUCAAAGGAAUGUAUCUCACUUCUCCCCAUACAAUCUACCCCACUCUCAA